CCAGACUCCUACGGGAGGCAGCAGUGGGGAAUAUUGGGCAAUGGGCGCAAGCCUGACCCAGCAAUGCCGCGUGAAGGAAGAAGGCCUUCGGGUUGUAAACUUCUUUUAUCAGGGACGAAGGAUGUGACGGUACCUGAUGAAUAAGCUCCGGCUAACUACGUGCCAGCAGCCGCGGUAAUACGUAGGGAGCAAGCGUUAUCCGGAUUUAUUGGGUUUAAAGGGUGCGCAGGCGGAAGCGCAAGUCAGCGGUAAAAUGGGGGGGCUCACCCUCUCCCCGCCGUUGAAACUGCGUUUCUUGAGUGGGCGAGAAGUACGCGGAAUGCGUGGUGUAGCGGUGAAAUGCAUAGAUAUCACGCAGAACUCCGAUUGCGAAGGCAGCGUACCGGCGCCCAACUGACGCUCAUGCACGAAAGCGUGGGUAUCGAACAGGAUUAGAUACCCUCGUA
rnacentral:rRNA from 1 species